AAGUGAGAUCAUAGAAGAGUAAAACUGACGGCCAGGAAAUUAUAGCUGCCUCAGGUCUCCAGCAGAAGAUGCCACCACACCUUUAAUCCCAGAUGACCUUGAACUCAGAGAUCUUAAUCUUCUGGAAUUCAUAGCCACUAUGGCUCAAGAUCUCCAUACCAAGAUCCUGGAAUAAAGGCACAGACGUCAUUUAUAAAACAAAGAAUAAAAUCUUGCUACAAAUGGCACAAUGUAAAUACAUUUCUCAAUAGGAGAUAUCUUCACAAGUUCAAGGCCCAUGCUAGCUCUCAUAACAGACACAGGAGGGGCAUAACAUAAAAAGUGCUGUAAGUGCUCAGAUAGUAAGUAAAAGUAUAUAC
rnacentral:lncRNA from 1 species